CAGCGAAAUGCGAUACCUAGUGUGAAUUGCAGAAUUCCGCGAAUCAUCGAGUUUUUGAACGCAAGUUGCGCCCGAGGCUCGUACCGAGGGCAUGUCUGUCUGAGCGUCCA
rnacentral:rRNA from 1 species